rnacentral:rRNA from 1 species
UUGGAGGGCAAGUCUGGUGCCAGCAGCCGCGGUAAUUCCAGCUCCAAUAGCGUAUAUUAAAGUUGUUGCAGUUAAAAAGCUCGUAGUUGAAUUUCGGGGUUAGUAGGUUGGUCAUGCCUCUGGUAUGUACUGGUCUCACUGAUUCCUCCUUCCUGAUGAACCGUAAUGCCAUUAAUUUGGUGUUGCGGGGAAUUUGGACUGUUACUUUGAAAAAAUUAGAGUGUUUAAAGCAAGCUAACGCUUGAAUACAUUAGCAUGGAAUAAUGAAAUAGGACGUUCGAUCCUAUUUUGUUGGUUUCUAGGAUUGACGUAAUGAUUAAUAGGGAUAGUUGGGGGCAUUAGUAUUCAAUUGUCAGAGGUGAAAUUCUUGGAUUUAUUGAAGACUAACUACUGCGAAAGCAUUUGCCAAGGAUGUUUUCAUUAAUCAAGAACGAAAGUUAGGGGAUCGAAGACGAUCAGAUACCGUCGUAGUCUUAACCAUAAACUAUGCCGACUAGGGAUCGGAUGAUGUUAAUUUUUUAGUGACUCAUUCGGCGCCUUACGGGAAACCAAAGUGUUUGGGU